UACGGAGGGUGCAAGCGUUAUCCGGAAUCAUUGGGUUUAAAGGGUCCGCAGGCGGUCUAAUAAGUCAGUGGUGAAAGCCUACAGCUCAACUGUAGAACUGCCAUUGAUACUGUUAGACUUGAAUUCGGUCGAAGUGGGCGGAAUGUGACAUGUAGCGGUGAAAUGCUUAGAUAUGUCACAGAACACCGAUAGCGAAGGCAGCUCACUAGGCCUGGAUUGACGCUCAGGGACGAAAGCGUGGGGAGCAAACAGG
rnacentral:rRNA from 1 species